UUAAGUGCUUUAAAUUUAGAAUUUAAUAAUGUAUUUUUUACAGUUAGUAGAUGUUUUUUUUCAG
rnacentral:tRNA from 1 species